GAUGAACGCUGGCGGCGUGCCUAAUACAUGCAAGUCGAGCGAACGGACGAGAAGCUUGCUUCUCUGAUGUUAGCGGCGGACGGGUGAGUAACACGUGGAUAACCUACCUAUAAGACUGGGAUAACUUCGGGAAACCGGAGCUAAUACCGGAUGAUAUUUUGAACCGCAUGGUUCAAAAGUGAAAGACGGUCUUGCUGUCACUUAUAGAUGGAUCCGCGCUGCAUUAGCUAGUUGGUAAGGUAACGGCUUACCAAGGCAACGAUGCAUAGCCGACCUGAGAGGGUGAUCGGCCACACUGGAACUGAGACACGGUCCAGACUCCUACGGGAGGCAGCAGUAGGGAAUGUUCCGCAAUGGGCGAAAGCCUGACGGAGCAACGCCGCGUGAGUGAUGAAGGUCUUCGGAUCGUAAAACUCUGUUAUUAGGGAAGAACAUAUGUGUAAGUAACUGUGCACAUCUUGACGGUACCUAAUCAGAAAGCCACGGCUAACUACGUG
rnacentral:rRNA from 1 species